AAUAUUGCACAAUGGGGGAAACCCUGAUGCAGCGACGCCGCGUGAGCGAAGAAGGCCUUCGGGUCGUAAAGCUCUGUCCUAAGGGAAGAAACGGACGGUACCUUAGGAGGAAGCCCCGGCUAACUACGUGCCAGCAGCCGCGGUAAUACGUAGGGGGCAAGCGUUGUCCGGAAUUACUGGGCGUAAAGGGCGCGUAGGCGGUCUAAUAAGCCAGAUGUGAAAGUCCAGGGCUCAACCCUGGAAUUGCAUUUGAAACUGUAAGACUUGAGUGCAGGAGAGGAGAGCGGAAUUCCUAGUGUAGCGGUGAAAUGCGUAGAUAUUAGGAAGAACACCAGUGGCGAAGGCGGCUCUCUGGACUGUAACUGACGCUGAGGCGCGAAAGCGUGGGGAGCGAAC
rnacentral:rRNA from 1 species